rnacentral:rRNA from 1 species
CAGCCGCCGCGGGAAUACGUAGGGUGCGAGCGUUGUCCGGAAUUACUGGGCGUAAAGAGCUCGUAGGCGGUUUGUCGCGUCGUCUGUGAAAUUCUGCAGCUUAACUGUAGGCGUGCAGGCGAUACGGGCAGACUUGAGUACUACAGGGGAGACUGGAAUUCCUGGUGUAGCGGUGAAAUGCGCAGAUAUCAGGAGGAACACCGGUGGCGAAGGCGGGUCUCUGGGUAGUAACUGACGCUGAGGAGCGAAAGCGUGGGUAGCGAACAGGAUUAGAGACCCGCGUAGUCCCUGUCUCUUAUCC